GUGCUCGCUUCAGCAGCACAUAUACUAAAAUUGGAAUGGUACAGGGAAGAGUAGCAUGGUCCCUGUGCAAGGAUGUCAUGCAAAUUCGUGAAGCGUUAUAAAAGAAG